AUGCCCGUAGAGCAACUGACAGCCAUAGUCAGCUAACUCCAGUUGCAGCCAUUUAACUGACUAGAUGCAGUUGUCAACAUUGCACCCAUGUAGUUAGAAGUCACAUGCCAGUCACUUCAGACGUCUGAUCAUCCUUUCACACACUACAUGUAUCAGGGAGGAGUGCACUCCGAUCAAUGGGGCUUUCCAUGACAAAAGAGGUGAAAAGUUCCAUGGACAUGAACCAGCUGACCCUGAUCACUUAGGAAAGGAGGGAGUAAUUUAAGAACGUCUGUGUCUGUACUAGACAGAACUUCAAGUGGCAUGCUGGAUAGUGAAGGAUGCAGUUCGGAAGCCAUAGAGGAUACAAUGGAAGUGACGGAAGGAGGAAAAGGUGAGAAGUGAAAACUCCAUAGACGACGGGUUCUUCCAUUGGUGACUUCAAGAUAAAAACAUCAUUGACAACAUUGAAAAUCAAAUUAUUUUCUGGCGAGUGACAAAUCAUCCUGGCUUUGAGAAAUGUCGUCCAUUUCUUCUGCAACGUUCGUAGACCUCCUUGAUCACUCUGGGACAUAAAACAAAGAUGUGAAGAUAAAAAGGAUCAAUAAAGGCUUCAUGAAGCUAGUUAUACAAGGCACAUUCAGCUCUUUCCGGUCCAGAGAUGCUCUUGUCUUCAGCAUGCUUCCCCGACAAAGUCGGAGCAGAACUUCACUCAGCCUAUUACUGGUCGCAGCGGUGUCCUGAGCAGGCAGGUCCUGGCCCGCAGCCUCUGUCGCCCGCAGCCUCUGUCGCCCGCAGCCUCUGUCGCCCGCCCGGAUCGACCCAGUCACCAAUUCAGAAGGUCACAGCUGAAAUUUGUAGCUGUCUGGUUAGAUGUCUCUUAGGGCCUCAGGUUGCCGUGGAAACUUACAGGUUUAGACUAGACAUUUUCAGCUCCAGACUGUCACUAUAUUCAACAGGGCAUGGCUUAAAGAUCAGAUUCAUUUAACAAGAAUCUGUCAUUUUCUGUAAAUUAAAAAGGACCUGUGGCCUCUCCUGACCUAGCUUUCAGUUACUACAUGUAUUCCUAAUGAUAUACCGUAACAUCCUUUCUUAUACGCUUGGUACUGUGCCGUCACAGUUAGUCUUACUAGAAAGGUAUAACUAGCCAACUUGGUGCUGCUUUCAGCAUAGGAAAGGGGGCACUGACUUUAAAAACACCAAUUGGAUAGCAUCUGAAAAUGCCUCCUGGUAACACCCAGUUGUCAAUUUGUUUAUAAAAUUCUAAGAUCAAAUAGCACAACAAAAACAAGAGAAAAAUGCAAAACAGGUCAAGCGAGAUGUCCUUAAAACUUCUAUCGUUUGCCAUAAUGCUGUUCAAUGCAUGCUGCUGCAUCCAUUAAAGGGGUACUCUGGAUAAAAGGAAAUGUUUUUAAAUCAACUGGUGCCAGAAAGUUGUACAGAUUUGUAAAGGACUUAGAUUUAAAAAUGUUAAUCCUGCCAGUACUUUUCAGCUGCUGUAUGUUCCAGAGGAAGUUGUGUAGUUCUUUCCAGUCUGACCACAGUGCUCUUUGCUGCCACCUCUGUCCAUGUCAGGAACUGUCCAGAGCAGGAGAAAAUCCUCACAGCAAACCUCCCUUGCUCUGCACAGAUCGAAGUGGCAGCAAAGAGUGUCUGAAUGGAAAGACUACAAGACUUCCUCCAGAGCAUACAGCAGCUGGUACAGGAUGGCUUGAGGCAUUUUUUUUUUUUUUUUUUUUAAUUAGUAGUAAUUGACAGUACAAAUCUGCAUAACUUUCUGGCACAGUUGAUUCUAAAACAAUUAUUAUUAUUAUUAUUAUUUUUUAUCUACAGAGUAGCCCUUUGAGUUGGUGCCAGCACAAUCUCUGACCAGAAUUUUGCUAACAGCAUAGUUAAAUGUUGCUGCUCUGUCUCUACAACUCCUAUUUACUUCAACUUGAGUUACGGAAACAGAAAGCUCGGCUGUUUAUUGUAAUCCCAGACAUCUUUUGCCAAACAAGGUCCCAUUCUAGAGAUAAGUAGGACCUGCGCUCAUGGCAAAGUAUUAGGCAUAGGUUCAUGAAUGUAUAUGGGAGGUUUUUUUUAUUUCAUAAAACCUAACAUCGCCCAAUAAAUACUUAUAUGGGUGGAGUGGCAGAGGUUUAUCUGGGAUUUCAGUAUCAUCACCGCUACUGAAAUGCACAUGAACACCAAUAAAAGUUCUCUGUGUACAACGGAGAUUGUCCAUUGUGAAACAUUGCCAGCCUCCUCUAUAACCAAGUGAUAGGAGCAGGCAGCUGGGCUCAUUUUUAGGUUUGAGUGAUGACAGCUUAGCAUGAAUUUCCACCUGUCAACGCUGGUUAAGACAAAACACAGCCUGUCAGAAGCAUCUCAUAACACUUAAAGAAAAUAUGUGAAAGGGGGAGCGCUCAUAAAUUUCCAACAUAACUCACUCCCCAAAACUACAAUUAACAUUAAUGGGAUCACAGAUACAUUUGCAGCAGCACAACCUUGGAAUACUGUGUGUGCUCAAAUCUAUGGUUCUCUGCCUUGGAAAACUCCUGUUUGCCAAAAGGGCCCUUGACAACAAACUGAUCCCAAAGUGUCCACUGGGGAAAUUCUGUAGUCUUUAAUUUCUCUGCAGCGCCACCACAGGGGAGAUCACACAUUACAUAAUCCCCAUUUAAAGUGGACCUGUCAACAGCUAAACAGGGGUAAAAAUAAGCCCCUGGCUUAACAGGGCUUCUAAUCAGGAUUCUGGCCAUACCCUUUUUUUUUCCUCUUUCCUCUUCAUAAGCCUUUAUGUUAAUAUGUAAACAAGAGGGCCCAGGGUGGCGUCCACAGCAUGGCCAAAGACCUAGGUUAGUUAGCCCAUCUCCUGUUAUUCACUCCAUACCAAUUUCCAUUCACCCGACCCCUUUGAUUGACAGUGGGUACUGAGUUAUGCUGCAGUAAGCAUAAGACAGUGAUUGACAUGCUGUCACGGUGGCCCCCUUUAUCAUUAAGUUCUCCUAAUCUACUGUAUACUUCAGCAGGGUAUAGGCAGCAUAAUUUAACUAACAUAGUAUCUGUGUAAUAUAGGACAGGACAGGUUACCCAGAGAGAGAGUAGCUUUUUACACUCCCCAAUCCUGGCCCAGGUUCCGUCUUCAAUAAUUACCUAAGAGUAUAUGACAAUGUGUUUACUUAACAGAGAACCCCCAUUAAUGAGGAAGAUGAAUGCAGGGCGCCGCAGGAGCCAGAAGUAGCGCGGACCCCAGGAACAGGUAAAUAAAAAAACGGGGAUGGGGGAGGCAAUGGGGCAGCAGCGGUCUCUGGCCGGGGCGGUGAGGGGACGGUGCGGGGCAUUAUCGGCAAGGUAAUCUGCUGACAUCAUGACCACAGUGCUCUCUGCUGACAUCUCGGUCCAUUUUAGGAACUGUCCAGAGCAGCAUAUAUUUGCUAUGGGGCUUUUCUCCUACUCUAGACAGUUUGUCCCUCAAUAGCAGCAGGGGACAGUUUAUAAUCAUAUUACUUCACGCAUUUAAAAAAAAAAAAAAAUACGUUGUUGUGGGUGGCGCAGUACUAAAGAUUCUCUUUAUAUAAAAACAAAUGUAUAG